GAUUAACGCUAGCGGCAGGCCUAAUACAUGCAAGUCGAGGGGCAGCAGGGUGUAGCAAUACAUCGCUGGCGACCGGCGCACGGGUGCGUAACACGUAUGCAACCUACCUUUAACUGGGGAAUAGCCCUCCGAAAGGAGGAUUAACACCGCAUAACAUCACGAGACGGCAUCGCCUUGUGAUCAAACCUCCGGGGGUUAAAGAUGGGCAUGCGUCCGAUUAGCUAGUUGGCGGGGUAACGGCCCACCAAGGCGACGAUCAGUAACUGGUCUGAGAGGAUGAUCAGUCACACUGGAACUGAGACACGGUCCAGACUCCUACGGGAGGCAGCAGUAAGGAAUAUUGCUCAAUGGGGGAAACCCUGAAGCAGCAACGCCGUGUGAGGGAUGAAGGGCUUUUGCUUGUAAACCUCUGUAGUGAGGGAAAAAACUUCCACUCUGUGGAAAAUGAUGGUACCUCAAAAGUAAGCCCCGGCUAACUACGUGCCAGCAGCCGCGGUAAGG
rnacentral:rRNA from 1 species